rnacentral:lncRNA from 1 species
UACACAAAAGCACAUUUAAGGCCCCAUCAGAAGAUGCCUUUGAGAGGAUUUCCAGAGCGUUAGUGUGGCAGCAAUCUGAUUAAAUAAAAUGGUGCCUCAGGAAUACAUAAUCAGUAUAAUGCAGAACUAACCAUUAACAUACUGCAGCUGAAAUUACUGUCAUUUAAGUAUCAUUUACUUUAAACGGUUUACGUUUAUUUGAAACUCUCCAAACAACUUACAUAACAGCCUAUUCUAAAGUUUAAACUCUCCAAACAAAUCUGUAUUUAACAUGCAUUUAGUCUUGGGCUAUUUUCUGGACCACUAAUACAUAAACAGACAAUGGCGCCAUCUAGCCACUAUUGUGAGUCCUAGCAACAGGUAGCGUUUGAUCAUGUGUGAAAUUACAGUCGAUAAUGCACUGUACUGUAGGUUAAACUUCUUUAACCCCUGUUAAAACACACGUAUCUGUAAAAAUAAAUAAAUGAAUAAAUAAAAAAUCUGACAAUACAUGAACAAUUAUCAGACUCUACAGUUUCAUUUAAACAUAUAGGCUAAUUAAAGGCAGGACUUCAUGUUUAACAUUUAAUAUAGUUCACCAAUUAAACUUUAAAACUCUCACUGACCUGAUUCAUCUAUGAGCUCAUUAUCAGUGCUAUUAGAUAUGGAGAUGUAAACAAAGGAAAUCACAUGACGCGCGUGAGUCAGAGUCAGCUGGCAGAGCCACGCCCCGCGCCUCCGGAAUGACUGCAUUCUCUCCGCUCUCUGACUCUUCUGGAGGCUUCUAGAAUAAAGAGUCACUAUGUGGAGAAGGCUUUGAAACCUGUAGGGAGUCAAGUUCAACAGGCGUCUGCUAGCCCUCAUUCACCGUGACACAGCACUUUCUUUAGCUAGCAGCUGUAGAAGAAAUACAACACCCUCACAGAAACCACAUCAGACUUAAUGUGGGUUAGUAGAGCUUGUAUAAAUGAAAUGAUGAUGGAGAAUACUUAAUGAAUUCUUAAGCUUAAAGUGUGUUCGGUACUAUAUAGUUUACAAAAUGUGUGGUUUUUUUUUUUUUUUUUUCUAGGGAGUCAAGUUCAACAGGCGUCUGCUAGCCCUCAUUCACCGUGACACAGCACUUUCUUUAGCUAGCAGCUGUAGAAGAAAUACAACACCCUCA